rnacentral:rRNA from 1 species
UACGGAGGGUGCAAGCGUUAUCCGGAUUCACUGGGUUUAAAGGGUGCGUAGGUGGGCAGGUAAGUCAGUGGUGAAAUCUUUGGGCUUAACCCGAAAACUGCCAUUGAUACUAUUUGUCUUGAAUAUUGUGGAGGUCAGCGGAAUAUGUCAUGUAGCGGUGAAAUGCUUAGAUAUGACAUAGAACACCAAUUGCGAAGGCAGCUGGCUACACAUAUAUUGACACUGAUGCACGAAAGCGUGGGGAUCAAACAGGAGUUAG